UACGUAGGGGGCAAGCGUUGUCCGGAUUUAUUGGGCGUAAAGAGCUCGUAGGUGGUUCGGUAAGUCGGAUGUGAAAUCUCCAGGCUCAACCUGGAGGGGUCAUUCGAUACUGCCGUGACUAGAGGUCGGUAGGGGAGUGUGGAAUUCCUGGUGGAGCGGUGAAAUGCGCAGAUAUCAGGAGGAACACCAAUGGCGAAGGCAGCUCGCUGGAACGGUACUGACGCUGAGGCGCGAAAGCGUGGGGAGCGAACAGG
rnacentral:rRNA from 1 species